GAUGAACGCUGGCGGCGUGCCUAAUACAUGCAAGUCGAGCGAACGGACGAGAAGCUUGCUUCUCUGAUGUUAGCGGCGGACGGGUGAGUAACACGUGGAUAACCUACCUAUAAGACUGGGAUAACUUCGGGAAACCGGAGCUAAUACCGGAUAAUAUUUUGAACCGCAUGGUUCAAAAGUAAAAUACGGUCUUGCUGGCACUUAUAGAUGGAUCCGGGCUGCAUUAGCUAGUUGGUAAGGUAACGGCUUACCAAGGCAACGAUGCAUAGCCGACCUGAGAGGGGGAUCGGCCACACUGGAACUGAGACACGGUCCAGACUCCUACGGGAGGCAGCAGUAGGGAAUCGUCCGCAAUGGGCGAGAGCCUGACGGAGCAACGCCGCGUGAGUGAUGAAGGUCUUCGGAUCGUAAAACUCUGUUAUUAGGGAAGAACAUAUGUGUAAGUAACUGUGCACAGCUUGACGGUACCUAAUCAGAAAGCCACGGCUAACUACGUG
rnacentral:rRNA from 1 species